UGGUCGCGUGUUGUCGUCGUUCCUGUUCUGGGUGUUUCGGCGUGGCAUCGGUGACUCGGACUGUUCUGACUGUGUGUUUGUGCCUUGCUGGUGACGUCUGGACAUGUUUCUCUGUUUGUACGCAUUGGAAGAUACGACCAGAAGCCGUUGGGUUUCGUGAAUGGAAGACGCUUUUGACAGAUUUGUUUCUGUGCACAAGACAAAUGGGCUGUCGCACUCCCGACGUAGGAAAUGAACACACACGUCGCUGAGAUCUUAAAAGACAAAAUCAUGUACGCUGACACCACAGAUGCCUUGGAAAAAGCGAAGGAAGACCUCAACAGCCUGCCCCAUGAUGCGUACAGUGCACGAGUGAAGUGAACGAGUGAAGUUCUUGCAAGAAGAAGAGCAGUGGGUUCUGCUUUUCCGAAGAUCCAUCAUAACACGAGGCCACAACACGAACAACUUUGCAGAAGCCUGCGUUCGUGUCCUCAAGGAUAUAAUACUCUGCAGGGUGAAGGCGUUUAAUGUUGUGGCAUGGUGGACUUUGUGUGUGUUGCCUGGGAAAGGUACUUUAAAGGGCGUCUGAUAAGACAUGCACACAGUCGUGUUGCUGCAGGUCACCUUGAAUAUGACAAGUUGCUGAGGAGGAUGCCUGAAGAGGCCUCUGCAAGUGUCAUUUGCCUUGGAGAUGAUGCAUUUACUGUUCCAAGUGCGACAAUUCCAGUGAAAUCCUAUGAAGUUUGCUCAGAAG